GACGAACGCUGGCGGCGUGCUUAACACAUGCAAGUCGAACGGAAAGGCCCUGCUUGCGGGGUACUCGAGUGGCGAACGGGUGAGUAACACGUGGGUGAUCUGCCCUGCACUUCGGGAUAAGCCUGGUCAACUGGGUCUAAUACCGGAUAUGACCUUCCAUGUAGUGUGGGGGGUGGUAAGAUUUGUCGGUGUGGGUUGCGCCCGCGGCCCAUCAGCUAGUUGGUAAGGUAAUGGCCUACCAAGGCGACGACGCGUAGCCGGCCUGGGAGGGGGAUCGGCCACACGGGACCUGGGACGCGGUACAGACGCCUACGGGAGGCAGCAGUAGGGAAUCGUCCGCAAUGGGCGAAAGCCUGAGGGAGUAACGCCGGGUGAGUGAUGAAGGGCUUCGGAUCGUAAAACUCUGUUAUUAGGGAAGAACAAAUGUGUAAGUAACUAUGCACGUCUUGACGGUACCUAAUCAGAAAGACACGGCUAACUACGUG
rnacentral:rRNA from 1 species